ensembl:lncRNA
GAACCUUUGACUUAUUCCUUAUCUGCUGGCGUGGCAGUGACCUUUAGAGAAGUUUUAAAGUCUGUGUAUAUGUGAUCAGUAGUCUUUGAUAUUUUUACAGGAGAUUUUAAGGUGGUUCAAAGAGACAGAAGGCAGCAAUACAAAGUAACCAAGGCUACAGCUAUUCCUCAGGAAGUGAAGAAACAGUCAUCUCCUGGACAAUUUUUGGCAAUCAGUCUAUUGAGAGUGCGGAUCACUCUCAGUACAGCUGUUUGGAUGAAACCACAUUCUUACAGAGAUAAGAGAGCUUUGUAUUAUGGUUGUAGUUCCUCCUUGCCAGCUGGGCUCUUUGUGAAGAGAUAACCCCAAACAUAUUUAAGGAUUACAAUACACGGGAGGAUCAGAAUUAAGAGAGGAUUUCUCACUUAAUUAUCCAACUCCGGAUAAUUCAGAAGAGAUAACAAGAAACAGCCUAGGAUAGAGGAAACAUAGCCUUAAGUUCUGAAAUGGAGAAGCAGAUGAAAGCUGGAACUCACUCAUCAGACACAUAUGCUGUACCACCUGCUCGUUUGUGCAAAAGAGAAAUAGGAUGAGCACCAACUUCUCUGGGAAAUUAGCUUUUGUGCUUUCUUUAUAAAUAUCCAACAAGAACAGUGGAACAUGUAGUGCCAAAGCAAAUAGUUGCCAUUGCUUUCCUUUUCACUCCCCAAUUCUGCAUCUGAUUGGAAUAUCUGAAUAUGGAUUUUGAGUCUUGCAUACACCGAGUGAAUCUGCAGCCUUGUUCC